rnacentral:rRNA from 1 species
CCGUAACUAUAACGGUCCUAAGGUAGCGAAAUUCCUUGUCGGGUAAGUUCCGACCUGCACGAAUGGCGUAAUGAUGGCCAGGCUGUCUCCACCCGAGACUCAGUGAAAUUGAACUCGCUGUGAAGAUGCAGUGUACCCGCGGCAAGACGGAAAGACCCCGUGAACCUUUACUAUAGCUUGACACUGAACAUUGAGCCUUGAUGUGUAGGAUAGGUGGGAGGCUUUGAAGUGUGGACGCCAGUCUGCAUGGAGCCGACCUUGAAAUACCACCCUUUAAUGUUUGAUGUUCUAACGUUGACCCGUAAUCCGGGUUGCGGACAGUGUCUGGUGGGUAGUUUGACUGGGGCGGUCUCCUCCUAAAGAGUAACGGAGGAGCACGAAGGUUGGCUAAUCCUGGUCGGACAUCAGGAGGUUAGUGCAAUGGCAUAAGCCAGCUUGACUGCGAGCGUGACGGCGCGAGCAGGUGCGAAAGCAGGUCAUAGUGAUCCGGUGGUUCUGAAUGGAAGGGCCAUCGCUCAACGGAUAAAAGGUACUCCGGGGAUAACAGGCUGAUACCGCCCAAGAGUUCAUAUCGACGGCGGUGUUUGGCACCUCGAUGUCGGCUCAUCACAUCCUGGGGCUGAAGUAGGUCCCAAGGGUAUGGCUGUUCGCCAUUUAAAGUGGUACGCGAGCUGGGUUUAGAACGUCGUGAGACAGUUCGGUCCCUAUCUGCCGUGGGCGCUGGAGAACUGAGGGGGGCUGCUCCUAGUACGAGAGGACCGGAGUGGACGCAUCACUGGUGUUCGGGUUGUCAUGCCAAUGGCACUGCCCGGUAGCUAAAUGCGGAAGAGAUAAGUGCUGAAAGCAUCUAAGCACGAAACUUGCCCCGAGAUGAGUUCUCCCUGACUCCUUGAGAGUCCUGAAGGAACGUUGAAGACGACGACGUUGAUAGGCCGGGUGUGUAAGCGCAGCGAUGCGUUGAGCUAACCGGUACUAAUGAACCGUGAGGCUUAACCUU